rnacentral:rRNA from 1 species
UACGGAGGGUGCAAGCGUUGUCCGGAAUCACUGGGCGUAAAGGGCGCGUAGGCGGCUCAUGAAGGCUGUGGUGAAAGUCCGGGGCUCAACCUCGGAUCGGCCGUGGCGACUCCUGGGCUCGAGCACUGUAGAGGCAGAUGGAAUUCCGGGUGUAGCGGUGGAAUGUGUAGAGAUCCGGAAGAACACCGGUGGCGAAGGCGGUCUGCUGGGCAGUUGCUGACACUGAGGCGCGACAGCGUGGGGAGCAAACAGG